AUACUUACCUGGCAGGGGCAGUUCCAUGAUCAUGAAGAUGGUUUUCCUAGGGUGAGGCUUAUCCAUUGCACUCCAGAUGUGCUCACCCCUGCAAUUUCCCAAAAUGUGGGAAACUCGACUGCAUAAUUUGUGGGGGGGGGGGGCUGCGUUCACACUCCCCCCUG